rnacentral:lncRNA from 1 species
GGCGGACACAACAUCUUUGUUGGUAUGUGGUGCUGAGGAUCGAACCCGGGCCGCAGGCAUGCCAGGAGAGCGCGCUACCGCUUGAGCCACAUCCCCAGCCCUAAAAAAAAAUUUAAAAAAAGAACUUGUUUUCUCUGCCCCCCAAAAAUGGUGUUGGGGGUGCUGGGGCUGUACUUCAGUGGUACAGCACCCCUGAGUUCAAUCCCCAUUUUUUUUUUUUUUGCAUUUUUGGCGCUGGGGUUUGGACCCAGGUCCUUGGGUGUGCUGUGCACACAGUCCACCUCUGAGCUAACCCCAACCCCUGACAUUUUAAUCUUUUUUAAAGUAUACAGCUCAAUGGCAUUAAUUACAUUUGCAAUAUUGUACAGGCAGUCACAGCUACCUAUUUUCAAAACUUUUCAUUAUCCCACACAGAAACUCUGUCCCAUGAAUAUUAACUCUUUCCUCCCCUCCCCAGCCCCAGGCAAUCACCGUUCUACUUUCUGUCUUUGGAAAUUCAACUGCUCUAGGUUCCUCGAGUGAGUGGGAUCUUACAAGGUUUCUCCUGCUGUGGCUGGUGUCCUGCUGUGGCUGGUGUCCUGCAUGUGCAGAAUGUCUUCAUGAGCAACUGUCUCCCUUUAUGAGCCUGAAGAUAACCAACUGUAUCCGCCACUACUGAGUUUGAAGCUUAGCUUUUCCUUCUAUCACAUACUGACUCAUGCACAAGAAAAGGCCACGAUUUACAGAGUAUGUCUCUCACGAUAGCCCCAAUUUAGACUGAUCUGACCCUGAAUAACUACAUCUCAAUGAAGAAUAAAAGGAGU